GAGUUUGAUCCUUGCUCAGGAUGAACGCUGGCGGUAUGCUUAACACAUGCAAGUCUAAUGGUUAUUUUGACCAGUGGCGGACGGGUGAGUAAUAUGUAAGAAUCUGCGUUUAGGUGAGGGAUAACAAGCGGAAACGCUUGAUAAUACCUCAUAGUGCUAUUAAGUUAAAGAUUUUUCGCCUAAACAUGAGCUUGCAUCUGAUUAGCUUGUUGGUGAGGUAAUGGCUCACCAAGGCUUUGAUCAGUAGUUGAUUUGAGAGGGUGAUCAACCACACUGGGACUGAGAUACGGAACAGACUUCUACGGAAGGCAGCAGUGGGGAAUAUUGCACAAUGAGCGAAAAGCUUGAUGCAGCAAUACCGCGUGGAGGAUGAAGGUUUUAGGAUUGUAAACUCCUUUUCUUAAGGAAGAAUAGUUGACGGUACUUAAGGAAUAAGCAUGGGCUAAUUCCGUGCCAGCAGCCGCGGUAAUACGGGACAUGCAAGCGUUAUCCGGAAUUAUUGGGCGUAAAGAGUGCGUAGGCCGUCAUAUGUGUUUAAUAUUAAAUUUUAAAGCUCAACUUUAAACUUGUAUUAAAAACUGUAUGACUAGAGUACAUUAGAGGUAAAGGGAAUUUUCAGUGUAGCGGUGAAAUGCGUAGAUAUUGGAAAGAACACCGGUGGCGAAGGCGCUUUACUAGGUUGAUACUGACGUUGAGGCACGAAAGCUAAGGUAAUGAAUAGGAUUAGAUACCCUAGUAGUCUUAGCUGUAAACGAUGGAUACUAAAUGGUGCUUAAGCAUUGUUAUAGCUAACGCGUUAAGUAUCCCGCCUGGGGAGUACGCUUGCAAAAGUGAAACUCAAAGGAAUUGACGGGGGCUCGCACAAGCAGUGGAGCAUGCGGUUUAAUUCUAUGCUACCAGAAGAAUCUUACCAGAAUUUGACAUGCCAAUUAGCUUUUGUAGAAAAGUUUGCUCGUUAGAGAAGUUGGACACAGGUGGUGCAUGGCUGUCAUCAGUUCGUGUUGUGAAAUAUUUAGUUAAGUCUAGCAACGGACGCAACCCUCUUUUUUAGUUGUUUUUUUAAUUUCUAAAAAUACUGCCGGUUAUAAAUCGGAGGAAGGUGAGGAUGAGGUCAAGUCAUCAUGCCCCUUAUAUUCUGGGCUACACGCGUGCUACAAUGGUUAAGACAAUGAGUUGCCAGUCCGCGAGGGUGAGCUAAUCUCAUAAACUUAGCCUUAGUUCAGAUCGUAGGCUGAAACUCGCCUUCGUGAAGUUGGAAUUGCUAGUAAUCGCCUAUCAGCUAUGUGGCGGUGAAUACGUUCUCGAGCCUUGUCCACACCGCCCGUCACACCAUGGAAGUUGGCUAUGCCUGAAGAUAGUCUUUUAACUUUAUUGAGAAAGCUGUUUAUGGUAGGGUUAGUAACUGAGGUGAAGUCGUAACAAGGUAGCCGUACUGGAAGG
rnacentral:rRNA from 1 species